CGAUCUGAUCGCACGCGUCAGCGCGCCGCGGCAGAAGCAGUCGAUGUCGACUUAUUUGCGAAAGGCCGCAGGUCUUCCGCCGGUCGCCAUUGGUUUUUUGCAGGAGGCUGCGAUUGCGGGCGGACUGAAACUGUCGGUGAUGGAUUCCGAAGCGCUCGCCGCCUUGAUCGAUGCUGUUCCCGUCAAGCUCACCGGCGUCGCACCGCUUGAUCGCGCGAUUUCAACCGCAGGUGGGAUUGCCUUGAACGAGCUCGAUGCGCAGUUCAUGCUGCGAAAAAUGCCCGGCGUCUUUGUCGCCGGCGAAAUGCUGGACUGGGAAGCGCCGACCGGCGGCUAUCUGUUGCAGGCGUGUUUCGCGACAGGCGCUGCUGCCGGACGGGGUGCGCUGAACUAUCUGAAGCGCUAAACGCCGCUUUCGAUUUCCUCGCGCAACAU
rnacentral:misc_RNA from 1 species